rnacentral:lncRNA from 1 species
AUCGUUUUCCUUUCUUUCUCUCCUUCUCUCACUAGACUACUAUCUCUCUCUCUCUCUAAAUCUUGAAAAAUGGAAGAAUGGAAGUGUGGGAUGGAAUAGAAGGGGAAAGAUCAAUUUAUAGAAUUUUGGAACCGUUGGAUUUAUGCCAAGUGGCAAAAUCCAAGAAGAGGGAGGAAAAAAAGAUGUUUGGCAUGAAAAAAAAACGAAAGAGGAUCUCCUCCACCAACGAUGGCGAUGUGCCGCCCGAGGCAACAACGGUGCACUGCUUGAGGUGGUCGUGCCCCGACCGACGCACUACAAGCUAGCUCGCAAGCUCACAGGCCUCCUACCGUGCGCGCUGCAUGCUAGCCUGCAAGCUCACAGGCUUCCUGCCGUGCGCGCUGCAUGCUAGCCUGCAAGCUCACAGGAUUCUUGCCGUGCGCGCUGCAUGCUAG